rnacentral:misc_RNA from 1 species
AAACUGCGAAUUGCAGACGCUUUGAAUGUUAAACUUUCGAACGCACGUUGCGCCGUAGGAGUCCUAUCCUGCGGCACAUCUGGUUGAGGGUCGUGAUCAAAAACAGCAGGACUAUGGUUGUAAUAGAAAUAGCUGGUGAAUCACGAGUUCUGCCUACGCCUCUGGCUGAACGUGUUUUGUCAUAAUGCUAGAGAGGACAGUCGCUUGCACGAGAGAUUGCCUACCAUAGGGAUGAUUAGUUGAAGCAAUAGGUCUCGAUCACCGGAUAUCAUGCUUAUAUAUUCUGGCGUCUGAGAUACAGCUAAUGGGUUCCAUACGUGCCUGGUAUCGAGAGUAUUCGCUCUCCCGACCUCAACUCAGAUGUAUUACCCGCUGAAUUUAA